UUUAUGGAGAGUUUGAUCCUGGCUCAGGAUGAACGCUGGCGGCGUGCCUAAUACAUGCAAGUCGAGCGAACAGAUAAGGAGCUUGCUCCUUUGACGUUAGCGGCGGACGGGUGAGUAACACGUGGGUAACCUACCUAUAAGACUGGAAUAACUCCGGGAAACCGGGGCUAAUGCCGGAUAACAUGUUGAACCGCAUGGUUCUACAGUGAAAGACGGUCUUGCUGUCACUUAUAGAUGGACCCGCGCCGUAUUAGCUAGUUGGUGGGGUAACGGCCUACCAAGGCGACGAUACGUAGCCGACCUGAGAGGGUGAUCGGCCACACUGGAACUGAGACACGGUCCAGACUCCUACGGGAGGCAGCAGUAGGGAAUCUUCCGCAAUGGGCGAAAGCCUGACGGAGCAACGCCGCGUGAGUGAUGAAGGUCUUCGGAUCGUAAAGCUCUGUUGUUAGGGAAGAACAAAUGUGUAAGUAACUGUGCACAUCUUGACGGUACCUAACCAGAAAGCCACGGCUAACUACGUGCCAGCAGCCGCGGUAAUACGUAGGUGGCAAGCGUUAUCC
rnacentral:rRNA from 1 species